CAUGCAAGUCGAGGGGCAGCGGGGCGUAGCAAUACGCUGCCGGCGACCGGCGCACGGGUGCGUAACGCGUAUGCGACCCACCCAACGGCGGGGGAUAGCCCGGCGAAAGCCGGAUUAAAACCGCAUAAGACAGAGAGGCUGCAUGGCUUUUCUGUGAAAGAGAGAUCACCGUUGGACGGGCAUGCGUUCCAUUAGGCAGUUGGCAGGGUAACGGCCUACCAAACCGACGAUGGAUAGGGGUUCCGAGAGGAAGGUCCCCCACACCGGUACUGAGACACGGACCGGACUCCUACGGGAGGCAGCAGUGAGGAAUAUUGGUCAAUGGGCGAGAGCCUGAACCAGCCAAGUCGCGUGAAGGAAGACGGAUCUAUGGUUCGUAAACUUCUUUUGGAGGGGAGUAAAGUGCGCUACGUGUAGCGUAUUGCAAGUACCCUCAGAAUAAGCAUCGGCUAACUCCGUGCCAGCAGCCGCGGUAAUACGGAGGAUGCGAGCGUUAUCCGGAUUUAUUGGGUUUAAAGGGUGCGUAGGUGGGAAGAUAAGUCAGCGGUGAAAGUUUUGCGCUUAACGUAAAAAUUGCCGUUGAAACUGUCAUUCUUGAGUACGGACAAGGCAGGCGGAAUGCGUGGUGUAGCGGUGAAAUGCAUAGAUAUCACGCAGAACUCCGAUUGCGAAGGCAGCUUGCCGGGCCGGGACUGACACUGAGGCACGAAAGCGUGGGGAUCAAACAGGAUUGGAUACCCUGGUAGUCCACGCCGUAAACGAUGAUUACUGGGAGUUUGCGAUAUAAAGUAGGCUCUGAAGCGAAAGCGUUAAGUAAUCCACCUGGGGAGUACGCCGGCAACGGUGAAACUCAAAGGAAUUGACGGGGGCCCGCACAAGCGGAGGAACAUGUGGUUUAAUUCGAUGAUACGCGAGGAACCUUACCCGGGUUUGAACGCAGAGGGACAGAGGUGGAAACACCUUUUCCGGCAACGGUCGUCUGCGAGGUGCUGCAUGGUUGUCGUCAGCUCGUGCCGUGAGGUGUCGGCUUAAGUGCCAUAACGAGCGCAACCCCUGUUGCCAAUUACCAUCGAGUAAAGUCGGGGACUUUGGCAAGACUGCCGGCGUAAGCUGUGAGGAAGGCGGGGAUGACGUCAAAUCAGCACGGCCCUUACAUCCGGGGCGACACACGUGUUACAAUGGGGCAGACAGCGAGCAGCGCGUGCGCGAGCACAAGCGAAUCUCGAAACUGCCUCCCAGUUCGGAUCGGAGUCUGCAACUCGACUCCGUGAAGCCGGAUUCGCUAGUAAUCGCGCAUCAGCCAUGGCGCGGUGAAUACGUACUCGGGCCUUGUACACACCGCCCGUCAAGCCAUGGAAGCCGGGGGUACCUGAAGUCCGUAACCGUAA
rnacentral:rRNA from 1 species